rnacentral:rRNA from 1 species
GACGAACGCUGGCGGCGUGCCUAAUACAUGCAAGUCGAGCGAAGUUUUUCUGGUGCUUGCGCUAGAAAAACUUAGCGGCGAACGGGUGAGUAACACGUAAAGAACCUGCCUCAUAGACUGGGACAACUAUUGGAAACGAUAGCUAAUACCGGAUAACAGUAUUUCUCGCAUGAGAGAUAUUUAAAAGUUGGUUAUGCUAACACUAUGAGAUGGCUUUGCGGUGCAUUAGCUAGUUGGUGGGGUAAAGGCCCACCAAGGCGACGAUGCAUAGCCGACCUGAGAGGGUGAUCGGCCACACUGGGACUGAGACACGGCCCAGACUCCUACGGGAGGCAGCAGUAGGGAAUCUUCCGCAAUGGGCGAAAGCCUGACGGAGCAACGCCGCGUGAGUGAAGAAGGAUUUCGGUUCGUAAAGCUCUGUUGUUAGGGAAGAAUGGAUAUGUAGUAACUAUACAUAUAAGAGACGGUACCUAACCAGAAAGCCACGGCUAACUACGUGCCAGCAGCCGCGGUAAUACGUAGGUGGCAAGCGUUGUCCGGAAUUAUUGGGCGUAAAGCGCGCGCAGGUGGUUUAAUAAGUCUGAUGUGAAAGCCCACGGCUCAACCGUGGAGGGUCAUUGGAAACUGUUAAACUUGAGUGCAGGAGAGAAAAGUGGAAUUCCUAGUGUAGCGGUGAAAUGCGUAGAGAUUAGGAGGAACACCAGUGGCGAAGGCGGCUUUUUGGCCUGUAACUGACACUGAGGCGCGAAAGCGUGGGGAGCAAACAGGAUUAGAUACCCUGGUAGUCCAAGGGCGAAUUCCACAGUGGAUAUCAAGCUUAUCGAUACCGUCGACCUCGAGGGGGGGCCCGGUACUCAUCUUUUGUUCUCUUUAGUGAGGGGUUA